AUGGCUGACAUCAUCCUGACUCAGAGUCCUACAGUGGAGUCCGUCUCUGUAGGAGGGAGUGUCACUCUCAACUGCAGGGCCAGCAGCACAAGUGUAGGAGACUCUAUAGUCUGGUAUCUGAAGAGACCUGGAGAAACUCACAAACUCCUGUUCAGCUAUGUGGGUAACAGAGCAUCAGGGAUUCCAGCUCGAUUCACCGAUGGCAAAGAUGGAGCCAACUACAUGCUGAAAAUCAGUGGGCUGCAGGCAGAAGAUACAGGAGAUUAUUACUGUCAGCAGCACUACGGGUCUCCAUUAACACAACGAUAG